AUCUGACAAAUGUUAUAAGUGCUACACUCAUGAACUUUUCAUCCAUCAACUUUGUCUUGCUCGCUAUGCUUAGGGUUAGAGAAGAACAAAUACACUUUAUGUUCUGUUGGUGUUUUCCACCAACAGGACCCAUGCACAUGAUCUCUGCCUUGUCUCUAUGAGCAGGUACACUUUGAGCAAAACACGGAGGAGUUUUAUAACUCUCAGACUCUACCAAGUGAAGGACCUGGAUCUACGAGCACAAACACACUGAGCAGGUUACUGCCAACGCCGCACUUCGAACUGCUGGGCAAACAAAGAACAUGGGUGACACCGUAUCAAGAGGUGCAGAUGUCAAGGUCCGCACCUGAAUCAAAUGACGCACCUGAAGAAUGAACACGGUGAGAAGUCUUGUUAAGAAGACUUAAAACAUUGAACCAUCGCCGAAAGGUAAGAUUGAUAGUUAUCCAUAUUUAUCCUUUCUGGAUUCCCUUUUCCCUUUAAUUAUUUACUUUCCUUAAAUAGAUUAUUAGUUAAUCAUGCUAUCUUGAAAAGAAAAUAAAAAUGUUAAAAAAUACUAAGUCCCAUGUGAGUAUACGAGUGGCAUAAAACCCAUAAGUACCUUCACUGUGGUGGCAUAAAAAUAAAAUAAAUAUUUCUUUUCUGCUUUAUAAAAUAAAAAUAUAAAAACAGGGAGUAAUAUUUAUUGAGGAAGCUCAACAUGAUGAAGGCUAGAUAUUUAUGCUAACACUUAAUUAGUUUCACAAGCUUUGUUGUCUAUUUGAGCUCCACAGAAUUUAAGAAUCAAGAAGACUAGCAGACGGAGGACAUUCUAAUCGCUGUCAGAAUGCUGCUGACUUUCAAAUACACCUCUGGAACCUGCUAGCUACAUCAAGAGAAAUUACGUCAAAAUUCAGCUUGGGGGAGAGCACCACCAUUUAUCUCGAUAAGUAUUUCUACCUAUCUUUAUACUUAUAUUAUAUUAGAAUAUUAAAAUACAUAAACUAUGAAAAACCAAAUAAAGAUUUUGUGAUUAUAUAUAUCUUUUGCUUAGUGUGUUUAAUAAAUAAAUAAAGCGGCUAUGCUAAUCUGAAUCUGAAUAAUAAAACUCUAGCAUGGAUAUGAUGAAUAGUUUCUCUGCCUAAUUUGCAAAUUUGAAGUUCUCUCUCAAGUUUAGACAUAACUGUUAUAAUUUAAAGCUUGCUCUAGAUCUAAACUUGUGGGAUAAAAACUUGAUCUGAAAUCUAAGUUGUUAACGGAUAUGAUAUGGGAAGGUUGAGCUGCUGUUUAUCUGUUCCUAGAGAUGCUAGAAUUCUGGAGAAUUUUAUCUUUGAAAAAUCUUUAAAAUAUUGCAUGAUGAGUUCCUGUAUGAUGAAAGUUUAAAUUCCUACCACAGCCAUAUAUACAUGCUUGCUAGACUUUGAGCCACACAUUUACUAUUUACUGCUUACGAGCAUUGAGUGUGGUCAAGCUAUGUAGACUCUUAGGAGCUUGUCAUGUGGUUAAAUCAAGAUUUCACUUGCACAUUCACUCAUAUAUGCUACUUCUACUCCGGAAGUACCAUCCACAUAUAUCCACUCAUUUCCAUCUCCAGAACCACCCAAAAAUAUUCUACUCCUAAUCCGGGAGAGAAUAACCAAAAAUAUUUCUGUUUUUCCUUGUGAAAUAAAUGCUCAAGUUAUCUUGUUACUACCACUUGCUAUAUUAUCUCAUGAGAUGAGUGCUCUAAAAAAAAAGAGGAGAGAAAAAAAUAUACGAGGAAAUAAAAAGGGGCAAGUGCCCGGAACCUCGAAAGAAAAGAAAAAGAGUGAGACGAGAGGUAAAAAUGGACAAGUGUCCGACAGUAGAAUUAGGGGUACAGGAUACCCACCUGAGAGGAAAGAAAAAAAUGAAAUAUAGAGCAUCUCAUUCUCCUCAUAAAGUUUCAAAAAGCAAGGAAGGUAUGUAUCCUCUCAAAAGAGCAAAAUUAGAAUUAGACUUUCACCAUUGUUAUCACCAUCAUCACCAACCAUUCAUUCGCCACACAUGCACAUCUUGAUUUGACUUAUUGACUUGUUUCUCUGGAUCUAUGGUUUGACUAUGCAAUAAAUGUCUUGUAAGUAUGUAUUAGCUGUCUCCCACCUAUGAGCUCCAGAUAUUAAAGCCUUAUUAGAGUAGGGUGAGAGAGAAGGCAAUGUCACUAUGCCUUAUACCAGAAAUACCACAAAAGAGAGAUUUAGAGAGUCAUACAAGGAAUCUCUGAGUUUUAUUUGAAAAUCUGCAAAAACUCCAGAGCUAUAGCUGAUCAAGAAUAAGAGACAUGGCACAUGGCUAGACUGUUCUAUCUUUUAACUACUCAAGACAGAAGUGACGGUUACAAGUCCCAUGGUGAAAGGUAAAGUAAGUAAGUUUUAGUUCUUGACAGUUUACUCUAACUCAGAGAUGAGAUCUUAUUUAAAAGCAUGUGUACCGUCAAAUUUUUAAGAUAUUGCAACAACUUCUGAUCCAUUGCUGAGUCUAUCCUUGCUCAGGGACGAGCAAGAGGUAAGCUUGGGGGAGUUUGUUGACGGUCCUUAAGUAUCAAAUUUAAUUAUCAAAUAAACAAAGAAAAGGAUCCAAAUGAAAUCAACAUCUAGACUUAGGGUUUUAUAUGACAGAAUUCCACAAGUUUUGGUGUUUGUCUAUUUCUGCAGGGGGUUAUCAGGAAAUAUGGAAGAAAGGCCCACACGUCAGGAUUACAUAGGGAUAUUAACGUGCCGCGCAAUUUUACGUCAUCUAGAAGACUCCAGAAGCCACAGGAACGAACGGGAAGGCGAACGGGCCCGGGGGCAGGGCGCCCGCCCACCCCCCUUGGGCGCCUACCUAGGAAUUGUAGUCAAACACGUCCAACUUUGCGGACCAAGCUCCACCGACCUAAAGGAUCAAGGAUAACCGUUGAAUCAAUGUCUGUUUGAUCCAACGGCCCAGGUUCACUUGAGGGGACUAUAUAACCAGACCCCC
rnacentral:lncRNA from 1 species